rnacentral:rRNA from 1 species
GACGAACGCUGGCGGCGUGCUUAACACAUGCAAGUCGAACGGAAAGGCCUGCUUUUGUGGGGUGCUCGAGUGGCGAACGGGGGAGUAACACGUGAGUAACCUGCCCUUGACUUUGGGAUAACUUCAAGAAACUGGGGCUCAUACCGGAUAGGAACUCCUGCUUCAUGGUGGGGGUUUGAAAGUUUCGGUGGUUGGGGAUGGACUGGCGGCUUAUCAGGUUGUUGGGUGGGUAGUGGCUUACCAAGGCUUUGACGGGCAGCCGGCCUGAGAGGGGGACCGGCACCAUUGGGACUGAGAUACGGCCCAGACUCAUACGGGAGGCAGCAGUGGGGAAUAUUGCACAAUGGGCUGAAGCGUGAUGCAGCAACGCCGCGUGGGGGAUGACGGCCUUCGGGUUGUAAACCGCUUUCGCCUGUGACGAAGCGUGAGUGACGGUAAUGGGUAAAGAAGCACCGGCUAACUACGUG